CCUACGGGAGGCAGCAGUGGGGAAUAUUGCACAAUGGCGCAAGCCUGAUGCAGCCAUGCCGCGUGUAUGAAGAAGGCCUUCGGGUUGUAAAGUACUUUCAGCGGGGAGGAAGGCGUUGUGGUUAAUAACCGCAGCAAUUGACGUUACCCGCAGAAGAAGCACCGGCUAACUCCGUGCCAGCAGCCGCGGUAAUACGGAGGGUGCAAGCAUUAAUCGGAAUUACUGGGCGUAAAGCGCACGCAGGCGGUCUGUCAAGUCGGAUGUGAAAUCCCCGGGCUCAACCUGGGAACUGCAUUCGAAACUGGCGGGCUAGAGUCUUGUAGAGGGGGGUAGAAUUCCAGGUGUAGCGGUGAAAUGCGUAGAGAUCUGGAGGAAUACCGGUGGCGAAGGCGGCCCCCUGGACAAAGACUGACGCUCAGGUGCGAAAGCGUGGGGAGCAAACAGGAUUAGAUACCCGAGUAGUC
rnacentral:rRNA from 1 species